UACGUAGGUGGCAAGCGUUGUUCGGAAUAACUGGGCGUAAAGGAUGCGUAGGCGGUUAAACAAGUUAUAUGUUAAAUAUAUAGGCUUAACCUGUAGAAAGCAUAUAAAACUGUUUAACUAGAGUGCAGGAGAGGUAAGUGGAAUUCCUAGUGUAGCGGUGAAAUGCGUAGAGAUUAGGAAGAACACCAGUGGCGAAGGCGACCUGCUGGGCUUUUACUGACGCUGAGGCUCGAAAGUGUGGGGAGCAAACAGG
rnacentral:rRNA from 1 species